rnacentral:rRNA from 1 species
GACGAACGCUGGCGGCGCGCUUAACACAUGCAAGUCGAACGGAAAGGCCUGCUUUCCCUUGUGGAUUGCGGGUACUCGAGUGGCGAACGGGUGAGUAACACGUGAGUGAUCUGCCCCCAACUUGGGUAUAAGCCUGGGAAACUGGGUCUAAUUCCCGAUAGGACUGCAGGGUGGUGCCUGUGGUGGAAAACGAUUUUCUAGUGGUUGGGGAUGAGCUCGCGGCCUAUCAGCUUGUUGGUGGGGUAAUGGCCUACCAAGGCGGCGACGGGUAGCCGGCCUGGGAGGGUGGACGGCCACAUUGGGACUGAGAUACGGCCCAGACUCCUACGGGAGGCAGCAGUGGGGAAUAUUGCACAAUGGGCGGAAGCCUGAUGCGGCGACGCCGCGUGGGGGAUGACGGCCUUCGGGUUGUAAACUCCUUUCGACCGCGAGGAAGCCACCUGGUUGGAAGGGUGGUGACGGUAGUGGUAGAAGAAGCACCGGCUAACUACGUG